UACGUAGGGUGCAAGCGUUGUCCGGAAUUAUUGGGCGUAAAGAGCUCGUAGGCGGUGUGUCGCGUCGGCCGUGAAAACCUGCAGCUUAACUGUGGGCUUGCGGUCGAUACGGGCAUCACUGGAGUUCGGCAGGGGAGACUGGAAUUCCUGGUGUAGCGGUGAAAUGCGCAGAUAUCAGGAGGAACACCGGUGGCGAAGGCGGGUCUCUGGGCAGUAACUGACGCUGAGGAGCGAAAGCGUGAGGAGCGAACAGG
rnacentral:rRNA from 1 species